UACAGAUGAGAUCAGCGGGAGGUCAGGAAAUCUUCUCAGUGUACGUACAGUCUCUGUCCUGAACAGUUUGACGACAACAGACGUCAGACCCAGUCAACCAUUGGAGAAAGAUAAGAUCAGCGAGAGGUCAGGCGAUCUCCUCCGUGUACGUACAGGCUCUGCCGUGAACAGUUUGACGACAACAGACGUCAGUCCCAGUCAACAAUUAGGGAAAGAUUCGAAUACGACUUCAAACACUUUGAAACGGGAGCCACUGCUCAAAGUUCGAAUCGAUGUGACUGGAAUAGACUUCAUGCCUGAUGGUAGACUUGUAACGGUGUAUAAAAAUAAACAAUGUAUUAUCAUGAGCGACAAGUUAAUAAAGAUCGGCAAAAGGUAUUUGCUUCAAAAAAGUCCACAAGGAGUUGUGUGCAUGUCAGACAAUAAAAUUGCCGUGACACUUGAUCAACAAACUGUAUGCGUUCUUGACGUCGACAAGGGCUGUGUCAUGAGUCAGGCACGCACAUUCAAAACAAGAUUAAAAUACCAUUCUUUGCGUAAGCUAGACAACAGCACUUUAGUUGGAUUUACACGUAAUACACCAAAUCACGCGAGAAAAAUCACAAUAGACGGUAGGGAGGAAGACUUUGAAACUCUUAAAAAGAG